GCCGAGCUCAAUUGUGAGAGUUUGUAACCCGAGUGGGGGCAUCAAGGUGAUGUCGACAUUUGUAGCGCUGCGGGCCUGGUCUGGGAAUGCUAUUGCUGACCCGCUCGUUCCAAGUUGCGUAGUGGACAUAAUGUGGCAGGCACAGCGUGAGGCUGGCUUCAUAGAGCAGCGACAACUGCCCGCUUCCAACGGUGGAAGGAUAACGGCCCGCUGCACUCCUAGGCCGCUUGGGCCUCGUAGCCUACUCCAGCGAACCAUCACUUUU
rnacentral:SRP_RNA from 2 species